AACUAGAAAGAGUGAGAGACAUGGAGAUGAUCUUGACCGGGGGAAAAAGUGUUCAUGCAUCAGCGAACCUCUUCUUCUGACUCUGGGAAGAGAGGCUUGAGCGGAGGAAAUCUUGUUUCACAGCGUUCUUGACGGUCCCGUUGAUGAAUCUCUGGUACCAUUUGCCAGAUUCUUUGAGGUUUCUAUCGUCAAGAUCUUCCCAAUUAACGUAACUGAGUCCAAAUCUGACGGUAAAGCCUUUACAGAAUUCAUAAUUGUCUCCAAGAGCCCAUGCGAAGUAUCCUCUCACGUUGACACCCUUCUCCCUGAAAACAAGAACAAUCAUAUAUAAAAAUGUUACCAAGAAAGAAGAAGAAUAUAACAGAUGUAGAAAAUCAUUUAUAGUAGCAUCCACUCACUUGAUGACCUUGCGGAGAAAACAUAAAUGACUGCAGAGAUAAUCAAUUCGCUUGUAAUCGGCAAUAGCCUGCUCACGGUUUUCUUCACUGGGGGUACUAAAUCCUAAAUAAACCGCCACAUUAAAAAUAUUCCACAAUAAAGUCAGUUUCUUCGACUAAUAUCAAAAUACAAUAAUUAUUAUGUGGUAUAAAUGAAAAGAGUUCGUAAAACUCACCGUUCUCGGUGACAUAGAUUAAAGGGUCUCCGUAUUUGGUUUUGAAGUAGUCCAUUACGUAGUAAAUGCCUUUUGGGUAGUAAUAGCUGUUGCCGUUUACCUUGUCUUCAACGAACUGUGAAAAUGGAAGUAAAUAAAUAUACACAUCAAUUAAAAAACAUAAUUAGGGUUGUUAUACUGAAAACUGAAAAAAUGAAAGAAAAACAAAUCUUAGGGGGUGGAUCAUUGAUAUAUACCAGUGGACCAAGAAAUUCACCACGUGAGUUAUCAUCUGUAAACACAAGGAUGAAAUAACAGAUGGUCACUCACAAAGUACGUUGCAACAAAAAGGAGAUAAAAGAAUAUUUAUAUGUAUAGAAAGGCUGUAUCUAAUUAGUGGUAAUAGACUAGUACAUGUGAGCUUUACGCCAGCGUCCAUCAUGGCAGUGUGUGUCUCUGAAGGAUAUGGGUUAGGUUUUGGCUGGGCGUACUGAGUGACGUAAUAGUUGAGACCAAGAAAAUCAUAUGAACCGGCAACGAGUGCGGCUUCUUCCUCGGUAAAGUUGGGAAGCCUACUACCCACAAUCUGCCUCAUGAUGUCUGGGUAUCUACCCUUUGUUAGCGGCUCCAUGUACCUGAUCCAUGUAUAUGUUUUAAUUAUAUAUACAUACACUAUAUACUGUUACAUUGUUCUGUAAUAUAUAUAUAUACCAUCCAUGGAAGAAUUGGUUCAUCCUCUCAGCUGCUUCUAUGGAGGCAGGAUCAGACUCAUCAAAUGGAAGAAACCAUCUUGUUAUCAUCACAGGUCCAAUCUUCCCUUUUUGAAACUGUUGGUCACGUGAUAUAUAUAUGACUAUACAUUAGAAUCAGAUAUGUUAGAUUUGCACCACCUUAAUAUGGAGAGACCACUCACCUUAUAUUUGGUCCUGUAAAGAUCGACGACCGUGGCAUGAGCAAGAAGCUGGUUAUGUGCAACGAUGUAGGGUUCUGUUGAAGAAUUUCCACCGUAACACCUGUGCUUGGUAUCAACCAUAGGAGAACAUCGACCGGGUGCAUCUGUUCCGACCGCAUAGCCUCUCGUAGGGACUGUGUAUAACUGGUUGAUCGUGAUCCAGUGCUUUACCUUUCCACCAAAUUCUUUGAAACAUAGAUCCGCGUAAUCUUUGAAAUCUUGUCUGCAUAUGAAUAUAUAAUUAUUUCAGUUAAUACAUGUAAUUAAAUAAGACCAAACCUUCUUCUUUUUUAUUAAUAAUUUUAUAAUCAAUCUCUUAAAUUCAUAUAUAAUAUGUCUGCAUGGCACAUACAUGAUCUGGCGGUCCAAGAAACCUUCAUACUCAUCUUGGAGUGUUUGAGGAAGGUCCCAGUGAAAGAGGGUAACGAAAGGCGUUAUAUUCUUUUCGAGGAGUGCAUCUAUGAGUUUGUGGUAGUAAUCAAGACCUCCUUGGUUCACUCCCCUACUCACCUUUCCUUCUGCUCAUGUAUAUAUAUGUCGUACAUUAAUUAGUACUUUUUCAACUAAAUGAUCCCAAUUAAAAUACAAACGAAUGGAUAACAUGUACAUACUUGGAAUGAUUCUUGACCACGCAAAGGAGAACCUGUAGCCAGUAGCAUUGAGUUCACCCAUCACGUCUACAUCUUUCUGCAGUUUACAUAUUUUAAUCACAUGUCAAUUCCACACGUAUAGUUUUUAUACAUAUAUAGUUCAAUCAUACGAGUAUCAAUGUAUUAACCUGCCAUCUCGUAUAGGACUCACAAGUAGUGUCUCCAUUCUUCAAAUCUGACCCUGAUUUCUCUGAUAGUAGUUACAAAUACAUUAAUACAUGUACAUAUAAACCGACGUUCAUCUCAUGUGUAUAUAUACACUGUGACGUACCUGGAUAUCGGUGACUGAAGCCAUCCCAAAUGUUAACACCACGACCUCUUCCUCCUUCGAUCUGAAAUGAAAAGAAACAACCAUGCGAAGUUGCAUUUUAGUAUUUUUGAAUUGUAUUUAUUGAUACGUCAAAAACAUUUGUUGCAUGCCUGGUAAGCAGAAGAUGCAACACCGAAGAUGAAGUCUUUUCCGAAGUUUUUACUGCUUAAAAUAUCAGUGUUACUACAUGUGAAUGGAUUGUUCUCUUCGCAAGUAAUUUCUUCAUCAGCUUUGCAACUCGCACCAGCUAAUAGAAACACUAAAGCGAGUCCAUGAAGAAGCUUCAUGGUUAAUCUGUUGAUGUAGGUGUUGUGUUAAUGGAACCUUGUGACCAUCUAGGGUUUAUAUAGCCCUUCCAAAAGAAGAGUGACGUAUGCAUUUUUCUUUGUCUAAGUGUUCUGAUAUUUUGGGAGAGGUUUAGCUGAGAUGAAACCCGUGUGAUCAUUUACUUUAGCUCAGUGUUCACCGAUUGAUUAUGUUUUUUUUUUUGUUUUGUUUCCAGUUUUUAGCAUGCCUUGUUCUUCAAUCAACCAUUACAUUGGGAAAAAAAUACAAGAUGUUGCAUUUUUUAUCGGGAUGAAUUGUUAAUGAUUUAUUGCUACUUUUCCUAGAGUUAAUUUUAGGAAAUAACCUAUGAAGUUGAACGGAAGCACGUCUUUGGACAAAUAAAUCUGGUGUCAUUUUCUUGUCAUAUUAUUUAUAUUGUUUUCAAGUGUAAUUUUUUUUUGUUACAUUCCAUAUCUGGAACACACAACUUGGAACACGAAUUGUCUCACAUCUUCAAAUUGAUCCGUCGACAGUGGUGAAUGCAGCAUGUAUAUAUCGAAGGUUUGCGCAAAACUAGAACGACACGUAUCAUCAUUCAUCAAGAUUUGUUGUAUUAAAUAAUGUUCAAACAUUCGUCAUGAUUAACGACAUAAAUUAUUGAAGAUUUUUAUCGAAAUAUUAUCAAGUGUUGAAUCUAGACUAACACUGAUCCAAGGCCACACUUAUCACGAGCCUCACCGCUCAUAAUCACAGCAUAUCUUAUUUUGGUUUUGAGUCUUUUUACCUCUCUAUAUAUGCUUUUAUCACAUGAGACCGGACUCUACGAAAGACAAAAAAAUUUGCAUUUUUUUAAAGAAAACCAAAACCAACCACAUUUUUUGCAUUUUUCCAUCGUUUCUAGAUAAUCAGAGCCGUAUGACCGAGACGAAUGAUAAAAAUAUUUUCAAUAAAAAUAAUAAUACGUUUUAUUAUAGAGAAUAAAAAAACCAUGACUUCUGAAUAAAUACAAAACCAUGACUUCUGAAUAAAUAAGAUAGUUACUUUUUUUUGAAAAAGAUUUUACUAUUUAAAUGCAGGAGACCGAAAAUAUUUUACAGAGAUUGAACUCAGUAGGCCAAGUGGCCUUACAUAUCUAAAAGAUACAAACUUGAAUCAGUGAAUUAGCUGGAUGGGUUUCACGUAGAGAACCAUAACUGAAGUAGAGAAGAAGAGAAAUUUGGCCUGUCGAUUCUUAGACUGGAGAUCCUGUUUUUUACCGUAAGCUUUAUUUGAGCUACCAGGCCGUCUGGUGAAGUGAAAUGAGCAUUGUGCAGUCGAUUGUUCCUCUCUGUUCAGAGCGCAUAAAGUGUCGCCUGCCAGCAUAGAAGAAGAAAAGUCGUUUGGACUUUGUUUGAAGUAUGGCUCUUAAUUUGGGGAAGUAUUGCAGUCCAUUGACGAGAUGAGGCGAAGUGACAUUUUGCUGCCAUGAUUCUCCAAACAUCCCAAGCAAAGUUACAGUCAAAGAAACAAUGAGCAAUUGACUCAUCAGCAACAUUGCAUAGGAGGCAACGGGGGUCUGUUUGUAAUCCCCAACUGAGGAUCCUGUCACGAGUGGGGCAUCUGUUCCUGACCAUCAACCACACUAAGAACAUGUGUUUGGGUAUACCACCUGAGAUAGUUACUUGUAUAUUAAUCUAUAGUUUAAAUCUAUACUUUAAAUAAAAAUAAAUACAUUUUAAUUAUAUUUUUCAUAAUUAGAUAUUCUUUUCGACAAAGGUUCUAUUGAAGUGCGUGAAACAGACAAAGCUAUGAAUUCAAACAUGAGGUAAAAUAAUCUGUUCAUAUUUUUGUAAGAACAAAAUAUUUAAAUGUAUGCUCUUUAGGCUUUCGAUAUAUUAGGAUGGGCCAUAAAUAAUAGUUUCAGUUUAAGUAACAUUCACGUUACCAAUUUGUACUGGGGUUUUCUUAGGUUAGUAUGCUCUUUCUGCAAACUGCCAUGAAAAGAUUGCACUGUGAAUGUUAAGCUACGAGUUACGGACAAAAAUCAACUUGACCGAACAACAAGGAGUCGUCAUCUUUAAAGCAUGCGCAAACUUCUAUGGAUAAUCCCAAUAGACAAAUACAUACUUAUCAAAAAAAAAAAAAUCUACAUAUUGCAAUAGCAAUGAUACACUUUUAUACUUGUAGUGCGUAUGGUGAGUUUAAAAUGGUCUAUUACAUUAGAUAAGCUUUUCAAAGUUUGUAUAAAUGCUAUAAGGACCAUUUCAAUAGUUUUUUGGCCCACAGAUUCACAGACCUUCCCCACCAACUCAAUGAAUACGACCAUUUCUCACCUAGUCCCACAGAUUCAUAGAAAUGGUCUAUCGAUUCUAUCUUUGAUAAGGUUUUGGUUCAGGAACAGCGGCGAACCUACGCUAUACAGAAAGCGGAAAACUGCCACUACUGUAAAGUAAAACAAAUUUAAUUACACCAAGAUUGUUAAGAUUCUGCAGUUUGGUUGGUCACUCAGCAAAGGCUCGAAUCUCCUCUUGACCCCCUCCCUUCAUUUUUUCUUCUCAUUUCUUUAUUUUACUUUUUUUUUACUUUUUUGUGUACGUGUUAUAUUCAUUACUUUUCUUGUUCUUUUUCUUUGUUGUUUCAUUAUUUUUCUUGUUAAUUUUUUUUGUUCCUCAUUCUUUUCAUAGUUACUACUAUUUUCUAAAACAAAUAGUUAUAAUACUUUUCAUUUCACUUGGGUAAUGGGUUCAUUUUGUUUUCUUCAUUUAGUUAUAAAAAUAUUUUUUAGUAUAUUAUCUCUCUAUGUUCUCUUCUAAAUUUUAUCUUUCUUAAAAAAUAAAACAUAACUAUGUAAUAUUAUUAAAUAAAAAAUGUUUUUAAUUAAUAAAUUAUUUUUAUGCCUCCACUCAAAAUAUUUUCUAGAUCCGCCGGAAACAUGGUUGUUCAUGAGUUCUUUUGUAAUGUGAAUAUAUUUCUGCUUAGUGAGACUGUGAGACAAACACUAAGGAAUUACUGAAGACUUUUUCAAUGGAUAUGAUCAUAUGCUUUUUUUUUCUUAGUGAGAGAAACAUUAACGAAUUAUUCAAGACAUGUAUCUUUUUUUUUGUAAUAUAUGCUUCUGCUUAGCGAGAGAAACAUUACUUAAUUAUUGGACAAUUGUUUUUUUCAAUGGAUAUCAUCAGACAUAGUUAUCUUGAUAAUCUGAGUGAUUAUUUAUUGCAUGACAUGUGGCUUUGGGUAGAUAAUGGUGUAUCUUUAAAUAAGAAUUCUACAUCCAUACGCAAUUACAUGUCACCUAACUCUAUAUUUCUGUCUUUAUUUUUUUCUUUUGAACUUAACUCUAUAUUUUUGUCUUAUGGCCACAUUUCUUGAUUAAUGGUUUGUCUGAUAAUAAUUUUUUUGCGAAAUGCUUGUUGCAUUCUUCCUCCACGGCCUUAAAGAAAAAAAAUACUCUUUAUGAUUUAAUAUAAAAAAACAAUAGUCUUUAUUCGAAACAAUAAAAUAUUCAAGGACAAUAUGGUACACGACACAACAUUGCCUGAUAAUCAUAACUGAUUUAAAGGCGAAAACCUUUAAUCAUUACAAUAUGAAAAUUCAGAAUUGCAAACGCAAAAAACUUCAAUCCAAACCAAACCUUGUUAGCCAACCAUUGUUGAUCCUAUGACCAGAAAGAUCGGCAGCGGCGGCGGUGGUGGUGGUGAGAAGCAUCUGACUGGUGAUUGGUAGUUGGUAAUAGCCAUUAUUUUUGUCAUCCAUCGAAGCAACGGUUGCAGGAUCUUGACCAUCACUCAUCUGCUGAGGUUGUCCCAUCAAAAGACCCACGAACGAUUGGUUUGAAUUUGGAUACUGAUUCGAACUCUGUCCCUGAUCAUGAUUCAAACCUGUAUACAUAUCCUGGUUCGAACCAUAGAACAUAGGCUGAGUCUGAUCAUCAAAGUUAGCAGGAGUUUGGUAUUGAAAUGGUUCUUCACGAUUCAUAUUCAUACCCUGGCUCGAACCAUAAAACAUGGGCUGAGUCUGAUCAUAAAAGUUAGUAGGAGUUUGGUAUUGAAAUGGUUCUUGAUGAUUCAUAUUCUGAUGAUGAACAUGAUCAUUAAAACCUCCAGGAGCCUCCUCCUUCACACUCAUAUCCAUACCAUCAAAUUGACGCAUAUGAUCAUAAGCUUCAGUAGGGUUACUUACCAAACCCUCAGUUCCGACAACAAAAGGGUUCGCAUCACCAACGACAGGACCAGACGCAUCUGUAGCAGCGACAUUAGGAGGAACUGGCUCACCAUUCGCCUCGAGGAACUCGAUCCUGUGACUUAGAUUUUUGACAUAAUCACCAAUAAAAUGAUUUAGUUCUCCAAUAAAACAUGGAUCAUCAUAGUGAUGCGGCUUUAGCGUCUCCCCCUUCAAAAGAUCGAACAUAACCUCUCUAAGCUCAAUCUCUCGAUUCUCCGCUUGUAGCCUCAUCGCUUUCGCUUGUCCCUUCUGGAUCCUCUCCUCCAGAUGCCUCUCUUGGUCGUACAUCUUCUUGCACCGUUCCUCCGGCAGAACACCCAUAAACGCCGAGUGCACUGCUUCAGCGCCUUCCCUUGACGGCCAAAACUCCGUCUCCGUGUUGUCGCAGCUGUUGAUAACCACACAAACUUUGACACCGCAGAGAGUUGACAGCUCGUUGGCUUUUUUAAGUAAACCUGUCUUCCUCUUCCUGAAAGUUUGGUUCCUUGCAGUGCUAUUAGUCAUAGGCUCUAUUUUUAUCCUUCCCUUUGGCAUUGUUUUGUGUUGGUGAAUGAUAGAGAUAUGUUGGCACUUGAUAAUGCUCUUGUUUAUAUAGUGUAAUGAGGCUGGUAUUACGUAUGCAGGUCUUAUCACUUUCUUUGGGAUCAUUAAUGCUAAAUUGCAGUAAUGUAUAAUUAUAAUAGUUACAAAAAGAAUAUAUAUAUACUCAUUAACAGUUGUCAGGAAAUCAUUGGAUAGAGCAGAUAAUAAUCAUGUAACUUUAGAUAUUAUUUGUAUAACUCAAGAUAUGUUUCCCUUAGUUGAAGCAAUUAAACCAACCAAUAAGGAAACAGUAAAUUUCAAUGCAAAUUUAGAUGAAAAUGUUGCCAACUAAUGCUGCGUAGGUAGUAAGACUAAAAUUACACAGAUAUAUCUAAAGGAAAAUUUAUACAAUUCUAAUCUAUACUAAUAAAAAUGAUCUUUUGAGGCUCCAUAGAGCGUCCACAUCAGCAAAAAUAACUUAUCCCGAAAGAUGACACGUGACAUAAAAUAUAGUUUUUACAUUUUAAUAUUACUAAUUUUUAAAAAUUAUAAAUAAUAUGUAAACAUACAGCAUAAAAAUAGAAAACUACAUUAAACAUAUGUAAGAUUACCAUUUUUCACUUAAAAAAAAAGAUGGUUUAUCUCCAUAAUGUAACAUUACCGUUUUAUAAAAAAAAACAAAAAACAUUGUAUAUAAUUUCGAAAAUAAUAAAUAUAUGUAAACAUACAACAUAAAAAAUGAAAAUACUACAUUAAACAUAUGUAAGAUUAACAUUUUACAUUUUUAUUUUUUAAAAAAUAAUAUGUAAACAUACAACAUAAAAAAUAAAAAUAAACUACAUUAAACAUAUGUAAGAUUACUAUUUAAUUUUCACUAAAAAAAAGACGGCUUAUCUCCAUAAUGUAACAUUACUAUUUUGUAAAAAAAAACAUUAUAUAUAAUUUCUAAAAUAAUAAAUAAUAUGUAAACAUACAACAUAAAAAAUGAAAAUACUACAUUAAACAUAUGUAAGAUUACCAUUUUACAUUUAAAAUAACAAUAAUAUGUAAACAUACAACAUAAGAAAAAAUAGAAAAACUACAUUAAACAUAUGUAAGAUUAUCAUUUUCACUAAAAAAACGGCUUAUCUCCAUAAUGUAACAUUACCAUUUUAUAAAAUAAGAAAAAAAACAUAAAUAUAACUAUUUGACUAUUUGUCCAAGUUCUUCUAUUAAACAUUGCCGUUUUACAUUAAAAAUAGAAAAAUACAUUAAGAUUUAAACAUCUUUCUUAAAAUAUAAAAUAUAGAUAUUAACUAAAUAUAAAGUAUAAGAAAGAGAUAUACUCAAUAUAUAGAAAAAUAAAUAAUAAGUAAAUAUUAUAAAUAUAUAAAUAUAUGAAUUAUAUAUACAAUAAUAAGUAAAUGCACAAUUUUUAAAAAAUGGAAAGAGUACAUUAAAUAUUAAACAUCUAUCUUAAAAUGUAAAAUAUAGAUAUUAAGUAAAUAAAAAGUAUAAGAAAAAGAAAUACACAACUUAAAAACAAUGGAAAAAGUAUAUUAAAAUUUAAACAUCUAUCUUAAAAUGUAAAAUAUAGAUACUACGCAAAUAGAAAGUAUAGGAAAAGGAAAUACACAAUUUAAAAAAUGGAAAAAGUACAUUAGUAUUUAAACAUCUAUCUUAAAUUGUAAAUCUAUCUUAAAAUAUAAAAUUAUUAGUAAAUAUAAAGUAUAAGAAAUAGAAAUACACAAUAUAAAUAAAAAUAAGCAAUAAGUAAAUAUAUAAUAUAAGUAAAUACCCAGUUUAAAAAAUGAAAAAUUACAUUAAGAUUUAAAAAUAUAUCUUAAAAUUUAAAAUAUAGAUAUUACGUAAAUAGAAAGUAUAGCAAAUGGAAAUAUACAAUUUAAAAAUAUGGAAAACGUACAUUAAGAUUUAAACAUUUAUCUUAAAAUGUAAAAUAGAGAUAUUAAUUAAAUAAAAAGUACAAGAAAUGAAAAUACAUAUACAGGAAAAUAAACAAUAAGUAAAUAAUGUAAAUAUAUAAUAUAUUAAUUAUAUAUAUAAUAAUAAGUAAAUACACAAUUUUUUUUAAAAAAUGAAAAAAGUUCAUUAAGCAUUAAACAUCUAUCUUAAAAUGUAAAAUAUAUAAUAUUAGUAAAUACACAAUUUAUAAAAAUGGAAAAAGUACAUUAAGAUUUAAAUAUCUAUUUUAAAAUAUAAAAUAUAGAUAUUACGUAAAUAAAAAAUAGAAGAAAUGGAAAUAAACAUUUUAAAAAAUGGAAAAAGUACAUUAAGAUUUAAACAUCUAUCUUAAAAUGUACAUCUAUCUUAAAAUGGUAGUAAAUUAUAUAAAAAUGGAAAUACCACAUCAAACAAAAAAAAUAAAAAUGUAUAGUUUUACAUCAAGAAAGUCCCUAUAAAACUCAUUAUUCCAUCAACAUCAACCUCACACUAUCAAUGAAAACUUCAAAGCAUUCGAGCAAAAAAAAUGGUUCCGCCAUCGACUCUUGCCGUCCCAAAAACCUUUAAUGACCUUGAAAGAGAUUUUAUAUAACAACGAACUUUUUGUUAGGUGGAUUCAUUGUUGGAAAACCCGCAACUUCUAAAAACCAAACUUAUUCAUGGGAAUUGAAUUGCUUUUCAUAGACUCAAAGGUAUUCUUACAAAUUUAAAUUAAUCUAAUCUAUAAUUUUAUUGUUAAUAUUCAUACUAACUCUUUCAUGAUCAAACCAUUACAGUUAAUAACCAUUCAAGCGUUUAUCCCGAAACACUUCCUUCCUCGCCGAAUCAUGUAUUGGUUCAUGUUGGUUUAGUAUUGUUUUUGGUUUAUUAACCGGUUUAGGAUGGUCCUAUUGUAAAUAUAAUUUAAGUUGGCUUAGCAUAUAUUAUGCUUUAAAUAACUUAAAUUAAAUAAUAGUAAUAUUAGGCUUAAAAUAUAAUUUUAGAGAGUUUUCAAAUAUAUUUUACAGAACAUUAUAGGUGAUGAAUUUAAUUUAUUAAAUUCGUUUAUUACUGAGUUAUAAAUAUCAAUGAUGGAUUGGUGAGUAUAACAUGAAGACAAAAAUGUAAAUAUUUGAUUUUCAAGAUAAGAAAUUCAGCUUUUAUUCAGUUACUCAAUAUAUAAUAUCUUAAUUUUUUUUUUAAUAUACAUAAUUUAUAUAUAUAGAUUAAUCUUCCAAACUUAAACUAUUAUAUUAUAUAUGAAUAAUUUUUUUAAAUAAAAAUAAUUUCUGAUUUAAAAAAUAAAAAUAAAAACAACAAAUGGUUAUUUUCAAACAAUUGAUGUAAUUUACAUUAUACUAUCAUUUAACAGGUAUUAGAUACAUUUUGAUAUAUCAUUAUUUUCGAGAAAACAAUAAAUUGUUAAACAUUAAUAUCAUCUAGGUUAAGUAUACGAACAACACAAAUUCAAACAUCACAAAAAAUAUUUACAUAAACAUUAUAAUACAAUAAUUUAAUCAAAAAAUACAAUUCAAAAAAAUAUUAUUCUAAAUAAUAGUUAUAUACUUAAUAUUUGAAAAUCCAAGAUAUUUUUGCUAAAAUUGUACUUACCUGGCCAAGGAAAUCGACCAUCUUUUUACGGAUCGAUCGAUUGUUGAGCAUGUGGUCGAUCCGAAAAUACUCUGCAGUUUAAUUAAAUAUCUAAAACUUUUAUUCUAAGACUCAACAGAUAGUUUUACUAAAUAUGAUAACUAGAUAGCCAACAAAAUUACAAAAAAAAUAUUUAAAUAGUAAAAAAAUAUGUUAAUUUAACGUGUUAAAAUUUAAAAAUAAAUUUUAAUUAUGACAUGCAUCUUAAUAUUUAUAUAAAUAUAUAUCAUAACCUAAAUAUAAAUAAUUUAACAACUUAAAUUAGAAAAAAAUAAAAAUCCCGGGCGUAGCCUGGGUUAAUCCCUAGUAAUACUACUAAACAUGCUUAUUUUCUGAAUUAAAGAAAAAAACUUAUUAUAUUAGUUAAACCAAAAUUAUAAAUUUGAGACUCAUUAAAUUACUAUAGCUUGUGUAACACAAGAUAAAUCGAAUCUUUAUAAGAAACCGGAAAUGGCUAAUCACGUCUUUAUUUUAGGUUUGGGAAAUCCGCAAAAAAUCUUACAGAAUAUAGGAAACCGGAAAUGAUAUGUUCUUUCAGAAACUUCUGAUACUUCAAUUCUUGAUAUUAUUUUUCCAUCAUUAAAGAGUAGAAUACAAUGUUGAAAUACAAACAAAUAAAAACAAAGGAUUGCGGUUUAGCUUCUUUUGGGUUUAUUGAUUAUAUAAGUAACAAUAUUCCUUCGCUACUCUAACCUCUCCUCCCAGGAUGGAGUGUAUUUCCCUUUUAUUGGAUUAUAGAACUUUGGUUAGAAACUUUUGAGUUUGUAUUAGGUUUGGUUGUUAUUUAUUAUGUUGAAGAUACCUUUUAUUAUAUAAGUUGCACUCAUUAAACUAAUUAGUGAAUUUAGGCUAAUCCGUCCCGUCAAUAUAUAUUUUUUUACACUAGAGUAGUUUGAGAUUUCUGAGUGUUUUCUGUUUUAAAUUGUGUUAUUUUCCCUCUUUCCUCGUCCUCUUGACUUGUCAUAAUGUAGCUGUAGAUAAAUUAUUUUUAUUUAUUAAUAAUUGAUCAUCUUUUUAUUGAAAUUGUUUACUUAGUACAUUAUAGAUGGAAAAAGCUCCUUAUCUAUGGAGCAAGUAGAAAGAGUGAGAGACAUGCAUAGAGAUGAUCUUGAGGGGAAAAAGUGUUUCAUGCAUCAGAAAGCCUCUUCUUCUGACUCUGGGAAGAUAGGCUUGAGCGGAGGAAAUCUUGUUUCGCAGAAUUCUUGACAGUCCCGUUAAUGAAUCUCUGGUACCAUUUGCCAGAUUCUUUGAGGUUUCUGUCGUCGAGAUCUUAAUAUGAGAAUGGGGAAGCAUUCAUAAAACAUAAAGUACUGAGGUUUACCUUCUUUUGGUUUUCUUGAUUAUAUAAGAACCAAAAUAAAAUAAAAUCAUUUGAAUGAUAGGAAAAUCAUAUGUAAAAUACUAUUAAGUUUCAGUUGAGGAUGAUAGAACUUUGGUGCAGCUAGAUUUGAGUUUGUAUAAGGUUUGGUCAUUGUUUAUUAUGUUGAAAGUCUAUUCUAGUAUAUAAAGUUGAACUUAUUAAGUUAACUAGGCAAAGAGCCCGUGCGAUAUCGCACGGGAACUCAUUUUAUAAAGAAUAUAUUAUAAUCUAUAAUUUAUAAUUUUAUAUGCCUGAUAAAAAAUUAAAUCAUAUAAAUAAUUAACUUUAAUUUUGAUGAUUAAAAUAUGAUUUACAAAGUAUUCAAAUAUAUAUAUAUAUAUAUAUUUUUUAUAAACCUUAAUGUUCCCUUUAAUUUUUUAUCAAAACACAUAUUGUAACAAUUGUGUCUUCAUCCUUUUUAAGUUUUUUCAUACAUUUUUCACAUGAUAGUUAUCUUCAACCACUUUUUGAACAAAAUGCAAUUUUUUUUGCAUGAUAUAUAAUUUUUUUUCCUAUUUAAGACAUAAUAUUAAAAUUAUUAGUUUAUAAUUUUAAACAAUUAUAAUUUAUAUGUUGGUAAUUGUUAUUUUGUAUAUUUAUCUACCUGCUUUAUUUAUUGAAAAUGAAUAUUCAGAAAAUUGAAUAUUGUAAUAAAUAUAUGUUGAUUUACGUUAAUAUGACCCGUCUCAUUUAUAAUAUUUUUUUUUUAAUUUUUGGGAGAGUUCUUAUAAAAUACCAACACUUAUUAUAUAAACUAACACAUUACUUAAAUAAAACCAAUAUUUUUUAAAGCAAUCCCACUUUGAGAUGAAAAGACACCUUGUUUAGAUGAAAAGUUGCAACUUUGACAUUAUUUUUUUCACCAUUUUAUUAUUAGUAGAUUAGUGAAAACUUGAUUUGAAAAAUGCAUGGGAGAUACGAUUUAUAGAUUUUUUAAAGCCUAUUUGAAUAGUCACAACCUUUCAAUAUGAAUAGUCGUAUUCUUCUAAUACUCACAACUUCUUACUUUUUAAAAGAUACUAGUGAAUAGUCACAACUUUUAGACUAUUUUUAGAAGGACACAACCUUACAACAUAUAACUUUUAGAAAAGACACAACCCUCUACACAUAUUUUUCAAAAGACACAACCUUUCAACAUAAUUGAAGUUCACAACCUUAGGAAUUAAUUGGAAAAGACACAACCUUACAACAUAGAACUUUUAGAAAAGACACAACCAUUUACACUACUUUUUCAAAAGACACAACCUUUCAACAUAAGUGGAUUUACAACCUUAAAAAUUAAUUGGAAAAGACACAACCUUCCGACAUAGAACUUUUAGAAAAGACACAACCCUUUACACUUCUUUUUCAAAAGAUACAACCUUUCAACAUAAGUGGACUCAUAACCUUUGGAAUUAAUUAGGAUUGCUAUUAUUAGUACUAGGAUUCGGACCCCCGCGAAAUCGCGGGGGAGGAUGUCUUAAUUUCGACACUGCUUAAGUAAACUGCCGCAAUGUCUCUAUGACACCUCCUCGUCUCAUCGUCAGAUCUACUGUGCAAGAGUGUGGACUCGCCAGAUUUACUCGGUACUACAUCACUGAUGUGUUUCUAUCAUACUAAACCGUCUCAAGCAUUGAUGGUUCUUCACAAAAUCGGCUCUACGGCUCUCCUUCUCCUUUCCUCGUGGCCGUUACUUUUCUGCAGAGUCGAGAAUUUUAAAAUCCAUAAAUUCCCAGAAAACGUUGAUCGAAACGGGCUGAUAUCGAGAUAACUCUAUGUUAACACUAUUAUAUGCUAUUGAAAUUAAGUUUUAACGCAAUUAGGGUACAUAAUUGUAAUAAUUAUACAAAUGGCUUUACUUCAAUUUCAACACUACUUUAAUCAACUACCGCAACAUCUCUAUGACACCUCCUCUUCUCAUUGCCAGAUCUACUAUACAAGAGUGUGGACUCGCCAGAUUUACUCGGUACUACAUCACCACUGUGUUUUUAUCACACUAAACUGUCUCAAGCAUCAACGGUUCUUCACAGAGUCGGCUCUACGGUCACCAUUGCAUCUCCAUCACGCUAUAGCGUCUCAAGCAUUGACGAUUCUUCACAAAGUCGGUUUUACAAUCGUCUCAUCCUUUUCCUCAUCGCAUGAACUAUUGUGCAAGAGUGUGGAUUCCCCAAAUUUGUUUGAUACUACGUCCUCGUUGCGGUUCCAUCAGAUUACACCGUCUCAAGCAUUGACAGUUCUUGACAUAGUUAGCUAUGUGACCCGUUCACGGGAACUGCUAUCUUCUACAAAGAUUCAUAGACUUUUCACCUUCAAAACCCAUUUGUUUGGUUUUUCAACGUCGCUUUCGACUUCUUUGUGUUCCUUCGAAUACAUGCUUUAGGACUACAAAUGAAAAUUCUCUUUAAAUCUUUUCUCUCUUUAGUCACAUCUAUCUUUCGUUAUGUUUCAGCUAUUUUAGUUUAUCAGUUUACUGUCGAGAAUCUCUUCUCCGAUGUUAACCAACUUAGCCCAUAUAAGUAUUUGGUGUUAAAAAAAGUUGUAUAUUUGAUUUCAAAAAGAAAAUUUAAAUUAAUAUAUAAAACGGUAAGUCAAAUUAUAAUAUAUAAAAUUAAUAUUGAAAAGAACGUAUAAAUGAUAUAUUUAAAAUGAAAAGAAAAACAUAUUUCAAAAUAUUUUAAACUAUUGCAUAUUCAUCACAAAUAAAAUGUACUAUGCAAAUUUUAUGCUCAAUAUUGUUAAAUAUAAAUCAAAUGUACAUAUUAAUUAUGAAUACGAGAGUUCAAAUAAUUUACAGUGUCAAAAAUGGUAUAAUAUAUCUUUGGUGGAAAAUGAAAUUAGGUUGUAGGUCAAACUAUGCGAUCAUUACGAGAAUACAAAUGAAAGAAGAUAAUUAUUUUAUACUAUAUUUGGAUACUUUUUUAGAAAUUAAAACAAAAGAAAGGUUUAAAAUGAAUGUUUGGCUGUAUAGAAGAACAUAAAACACCAUAAUCUUUGAAACUAAAAAAUAAAGUAUAUCUUGAACUACUAAACAAAGAAACCACAAAAUGUUUAAAUAUCUUUUAGAAAAGGAAAAUUUUAAAAUUGAACAUAUACGAAUUGCGAUGUCGAACUUUAGUGUUCAAAUGUAUACACUGAGAAAUAACCAUUCAAAUGUGAAACAAGAAAAUAGUGGAACAAAUAAAUGUGCAUACUGUCAUGCAACAAAAUUUUAAUAUUGGAAUAUAAUAUAGGAAAUGAAAAAAUAAGUGUUAAAGGUAUUAAUUAUUUGAUUAAAUAAGUGGUUACUAAAUAAAUUAAAUAUAUAUUUAAAUUUAUAAUUGGAAUAUAACCUUAUCAUGAGUUUUUACUUUUUAAAAUGUAGAGCUCUUCCGAAAAUUGAACAUACUCAAAAUUUGGGUCUUUUGGAUCAUUUUAUACAUUUCUAGUUAUAGAAUUUGAAAUAUUUUAAUAUUCUCUCAGUGAAUUGGAAUUCAGUUCUACUAUAAUUUAGAUAAUUAUAAUUAACAUAAACAUGUUUAAAAAAUCCUAAACUGGAAGCAUUGUCAAACUUAAACCUACAAUUGAGUUGUUGUGAUAUGAAAUGAAAUAAACAAAUUUUAAAGACAGCUGUUAAUAUUUUUUUACUAUAACAAGCAGUUAUAGCCAGAAAGAAUUCGGAAGAAAAUAAGGUUUAACAAUCGUUGUCAAUUUUUCUUUUAUUUUUUGUUUCAUUUCAAAUGUCUACAGUAGUUGCCAUCCUUCUUAAGAAACAGUAAAAACUUUAUAUAUUAAUAUUUGAAAAAUUUAUAAGUUAACGCAAUCUUUACAAAUGGGUCGUAUCAUACCAAUGAUAUAAUUUUAUAUAUGUUUUUUUUUUUUGAAAAAGGGUUUUCAAAUAAUUUUUUUUUUAUAUAUGUAGAAAAAUAGAAAUUAAAAUUAACAGAGAUUGAGUUUCCUUCAUAAUAAUGUGACUGAUAUUAUAAUCAAGGUUUUUUGUUUGAAUUAUCUUCAUCAUAAUGUGACUGAUAUUAAGAUUAAGGUUUAUGGUUUGAAUUACCUUCAUCAUAAUGUGACUGAUAUUUAAAUUCACUGAAUAGUGCACACAUAUUUCGGGCCUUUCGAGUCAGGAUCCAUUCACACCCAUUCGAUUAGACCUGUUUGCAUCUGUUCAUAACUCGUUUGCACUCACGACCAGUUAAAACGAUUUUGACUGUUUGGAAAAUUGGUGGCACAUGUUUUGUUACUUUUUGUUUGCACAUUCUUCUAUUUCUUAAUAAUCUCAUAUGCUCAUAACAAUAGUAUUAAGAUAAUAAGAGUAAUGGACAAAAAAAUUUCAAGGUGGUUGCUAUCUUGUCUUUAGUAAGAUUCUUGUCUUUAGUAAGAUUAUUCCAGCAUGAACACCAUUUAGUGGAUUUUAUAACUUUGUAAUAAAUGAAUAUCACUGAGAGAAAAAGUUUACAUAUCACCAUGUGCAUAAAGGAAUGUGUUGUUUAAAUAAAUAAUUGUUCAAGGAAGAGUUGCCAAGUAUAAAUUUAUUGAUGACACCAACAAAAGUAUUUUAUGUUCUUUUAGUUCAUAAAAAAAAAAAUUAUUCCCAUUAGAUUGAAAUUUUAUUUUUCUGUAAAAAAAGAUGCAUGUGAAAAAGGUGUGUGUUUUUAGAAAUUAAAAAUCAUUUUGAAGAGUGUAUCUUUCAUAAAUUAAUUGAGACGUGUAAACGGUGCGUCGGAAGGACAUGAUUAAACAGUUUUUUCUCUUUCAACCUAUGAACCAAUCUAAGCAUAGACCUGGUCCAUCCAACAUCACGUCCAUUCCUUUAAUAGAGUUUUAUGGUUGGAAAGAAAGAAAACUCGAUCUCUAAAAAAAUAGUUUAAUUAGUCUUUUAUAUCCCACAUGCAAACGAAGAUGUUCCCUUUUGCGGCUAAGAGCAUCUCCAAAAGAAACUCUAUAACUCCAAAUAUAGAGUUUUUUGCUCUCCAAAAAGGAAAUUCAAAACUUCAAAUUUGAAGUUUUGAAGAGUGAAACUCCAAAUAUAGAGUUUCACUUUUCAAAACUUCAAAUUUGAAGUUUCAUCUUUUUAUUUGCAUUUUGGUUCUUACAAUUAUACAUCAUAUUUAUAAUUCUUAAAUAUUUUUUUUGUUUAUUGUUUUAAUCCUUAAAACUUUUAUAUCUCAUAAAUAUUUCAAAUUUGUUAUAUAAACUUAAGUUUUACACAUGAAAUUAAAUAAAAAAAAUUAAAACAAGAUUUAUAAUAUUUUAAAACUAGAAUUAAACAACAAGAAUAUUACAAAAAACCAUAAUAAAAACUUAUUAAAAAGACACAUGAAGACAUAAUUAUUACUCAAAUUUAAAUAUUAUAACAACACUAAUAGUCUGGUAAAUUUGCUCCGGAAACUCCAAAAUCUCCAAAAUAUUGUUCAACAAAUUUUGUGUAACCGAAGAUGAUUGUUGUUGUUGCUCUUGACGCAUUUUUCGUAUGAUUCUUUCUUGUUCAGAUCGAAUGUAUUCACGAAUAUUAACGUCAUCGAUAGAAGCUAAGUUUUUUAGCAAUAUUUUAUUUUCCUCUUUUAUUUCUUUAAAAGCUAACUUUUUUGCUUCAUUUUGCAGUCGUAAUUCAAUCAUCUCAUGACCUUUUUCCCUGCUUGUUGUACUUUCGUUUAAAAGAUCAAGGAUUUUUUCGUUUGAUGAUAUCAAACUAUCAGCAGACAUAUUAUGAGGAUAUCCGGUUUCAACAAUUUUUGGCUCGUAAUCUACAAAUAAAAAAUAAAGAGAAUCAUUUCUUACUUCGAAAUAGUUGAUCAUAUAUGGGAGCAUUAUGGAAAUAAUUUUAUGCAAUAAUGUAAUAUUUGCUUGCAGUUUAAUAUUUAAUUAUGUACUUUUAUUUAUAAUUUUAUAUUUUAGUGUAAGAUUUUUUUUUUAAUUAAUAUUUCUGUAAUAUUUAUAUAUAUGUAUUAAUUAUUUAUAGAAGUUUUAUGAAUUUACAUCAACUAUGACAAACAUAAGGAUCAUAGUGUAAAAUAUAAAUAAUUUUGAAGUUAGGUUUGAAGUUUUAUUUUUGGAAAAGAACACAUUGAAACUUCAAAUAUAAAGUUUUGGAAACUUCAAAAUAGAGUUCCUUUUUGGAGAUGCUCUAAUAAACACUCAAAUCAUCCAGUCAUUCCCAUCUAAUUAUUCAGUCGACUGAUUAAAAUAACGAUGGAAAAACGUAACUCCAGCCUUCCGUACUUUUUCUUUAUAACAUAAUACUACUUGCCGUUGAAUUUUUUUUAAAUUUGCUUAUCAUGUAUCUACAAAGUAAUAGCCAAAAGAAAAUGUUUUGAAAAUCAAUUUCUUCCUUACUUUUUUUUGAAGAGGCAAAGCGUUUAAUUUGCCGCAACCAAACCGGUCAGAAUCCAAAGCAAACAGCGUUUGAAGAAGAUUGUACGGAGACCAAAGCGCGUCUAACUGACAAGGCCGACUAGUGUUGAGUCUAGCCCAUGGUUUGCCUUCCCCACUCCAGUCCACGAAAAUUUUCUCCUCCCAAACCGUUUGUAAAACCAAAAGAAGUGUUUCAAAAUUCAUAAUGAAACGGACACAAACAUACACGAUGAAAACAACAUCAACACUAAAGUAUAACCAAACAAAUAAAAUUUUCAACAUAAAUUAAGAACAUGUAUGAAAUAAAAGACGAUAAGUUAAAUCAAAGAGUGAAUAAUUAAUUUGAACCAGUUAAUCGGCUUCUUCUCUGCAUACUUCUACAAUCUAUUCACUGCAUUUGAAACAAUGCAUCUCUAUGUUUGGAAAUUUGUUAAAUACAAAAUAUCAUUACUUCUAUUCAGUGUCGUACCUCUCUGAGAUGAACUGAAUCGUGAGUCUAACAGAGAGUAAUCAAAUAAUGAUGGGAAGUGUUAGGAGAAAUGUCUUCUCCUAACACUUUUUUUUUUUUUUUUGCAAAAAAAAAGUGUUAGGAGAAGAAAUCUAAGCCAAAAAUUGUACUUACUAUAAUUGCAGAAACUCCUAGGAGACAUUAAAUUUGAUAAUUAGUGAAUUGAAGAGAAAGAGCAACACCAUCAGGUUUGAAAUUAUAAGAAAAGAAGAAAGGGCGAAAGGAACAAUGAUCUGCAACAGAAAAAACAAACUACAGAUUUCGAUGUCGAGGAAAUGGUGGGAGGUUAAAAGCAGAAGGGAGAAGUUAAGAAAACGUGAAACAUAUCUGAAAACCGAUACAGUCUCUCUUCAAUAUAUAAUUUUUGAAAAGUUGCAAUUCUUAAACGAAGUUGAUGACGGUUCCACUGAAACACUAAGUGUGAAAAGAUAUACAAAAGUAAAGAUAAUUUCUACAAUUUGUCAUAAACUCUGGAAGGGAUUUCCCUCUGCAACAUCAUGUGCGAAAAGAAUUGUAGGUAACAGUUGUAAGCUUUGGUGGUUUUUACAACUUUCUAUUAUCAAAUACAUACAACUUACUCUAUUUUAUGAAAAGGUUCAAUCAAAGGGUCGUUAAAUGGUAAAAUCUCUGAAAAGAUACAACUUUUCACUGAAUGAACAUGUUUUUUGCUUAAGUGAACGGUUUUAUCACAGGUUUCUACUAUGAAAGAGUUCAAGUACGGGUUUGAUGGUUAAAAAAUCUGAAAAAAUACAACUUUUCAUUGAAUAAACAUGUUUGUUGUUCAAGUGAAACUAUGACAUCAUACUCAGGAUCCUAAAUAAAAUCAUAGCCGUUAGAUUAGAAGUUAGAAACAAACUUCACCGUUGGAUGUUAACUUUUUUUUCCUAUAAAAAGUUGAUGACAUCAUCAGGUAAAAAAACAGGUUUGCUAUUAUAUAUAGAUUAGUAGAUUAGUGAAUUUAAGCUGAUCGGUUUGAUGUUUAUAUAUUUAUUACACAAAACUAGUUUGCGGUUUGGAGUAAUUAUUUAUUUAUUUUCUCUGUGUGUCUGAGUGAUGUGUUUUGGUUUAAAUUGUGUUAUUUCACUCUCUCUCUCUCGAUCAUCUUGACAAAAUGUAGUUGUAGACAAAUUUUUUAUUCAUUAGUAACUGAUCAUCUUUUUAUUGAGAAUAUUUAUUUAGUACAUUAUUAUAGGUAGAAGAAGCUCCUUAUCUUUGGAGCAACUAGAAAGAGUGAGAGACAUGGAGAUGAUCUUGACCGGGGGGAAAAGUGUUUCAUGCAUCAGCGAACCUCUUCUUCUGACUCUGGGAAGAGAGGCUUGAGCGGAGGAAAUCUUGUUUCACAGCGUUCUUGACGGUCCCGUUGAUGAAUCUCUGGUACCAUUUGCCAGAUUCUUUGAGGUUUCUAUCGUCAAGAUCUUCCCAAUUAACGUAACUGAGUCCAAAUCUGACGGUAAAGCCUUUACAGAAUUCAUAAUUGUCUCCAAGAGCCCAUGCGAAGUAUCCUCUCACGUUGACACCCUUCUCCCUGAAAACAAGAACAAUCAUAUAUAAAUGUUAGCAAAAAAGAAGAAGAAAUAACAUAUGAAGAAAAUCAUUUAUAGUAGUAUCCACUCACUUGAUGACCUUGCGGAGAAAACAUAAAUGACUGCAGAGAUAAUCAAUUCGCUUGUAAUCGGCAAUAGCCUGCUCACGGUUUUCUUCACUGGGGGUACUAAAUCCUAAAUAAACCGCCACAUUAGAAAUAUUCCACAAUAAAGUCAGUUUCUUCGACUAAUAUCAAAAUACAAUAAUUAUUAUGUGGUAUAAAUAAAAAGAGUUCGUAAAACUCACCGUUCUCGGUGACAUAGAUUAAAGGGUCUCCGUAUUUGGUUUUGAAGUAGUCCAUUACGUAGUAAAUGCCUUUUGGGUAGUAAUAGCUGUUGCCGUUUACCUUGUCUUCAACGAACUGUGAAAAUGGAAGUAAAUAAAUAUACACAUCAAUUAAAAAACAUAAUUAGGGUUGUUAUACUGAAAACUGAAAAAAUGAAAGAAAAACAAAUCUUAGGGGGUGGAUCAUUGAUAUAUACCAGUGGACCAAGAAAUUCACCACGUGAGUUAUCAUCUGUAAACACAAGGAUGAAAUAACAGAUGGUCACUCAUAAAGUAUGUUGCAACAAAAAGGAGAUAAAAGAAUAUUUAUAUGUAUAGAAAGGCUGUAUCUAAUUAGUGGUAAUAGACUAGUACAUGUGAGCUUUACGCCAGCGUCCAUCAUGGCAGUGUGUGUCUCUGAAGGAUAUGGGUUAGGUUUUGGCUGGGCGUACUGAGUGACGUAAUAGUUGAGACCAAGAAAAUCAUAUGAACCGGCAACGAGUGCGGCUUCUUCCUCGGUAAAGUUGGGAAGCCUACUACCCACAAUCUGCCUCAUGAUGUCUGGGUAUCUACCCUUUGUUAGCGGCUCCAUGUACCUGAUCCAUGUAUAUCUUUUAAUUAUACAUACAUACACUAUAUACUGUUACAUUGUUCUGUAAUAUAUAUAUAUAUAUAUAUACCAUCCAUGGAAGAAUUGGUUCAUCCUCUCAGCUGCUUCUAUGGAGGCAGGAUCAGACUCAUCAAAUGGAAGAAACCAUCUUGUAAUCAUUACAGGUCCAAUCUUCCCUUUUUGGAACUGUUGGUUACGUGAUAUAUGACUAAGUUAGAAUCAGAUAUCUUAGAUUACACUACACCAUCUUUAUCACGUAUUGAGACAACUCACCUUGUAUUUGGUCCUGUAAAGAUCGACGACCGUGGCAUGAGCAAGAAGCUGGUUAUGUGCAACGAUGUAGGGUUCUGUUGAAGAAUUUCCACCGUAACACCUGUGCUUGGUAUCAACCAUAGGAGAACAUCGACCGGGUGCAUCUGUUCCAACUGCAUAGCCUCUAGUAGGGACUGUGUAUAGCUGGUUGAUCGUGAUCCAGUGCUUUACCUUUCCACCAAAUUCUUUGAAACAUAGAUCCGCGUAGUCUUUGAAAUCUUGUCUGUGCAUAUUAAUAUAGAAUCAUUUCAGUAAUGCAUGUAACUAAAACCAAGUCUUUUUCUUCUUUUAUUAAUAAUAUAAGAAGCAUGGCACAAAUAUAAACAUACAUGAUCUGGCGGUCUAAGAAACCUUCAUACUCAUCUUGGAGUGUUUGAGGAAGGUCCCAGUGAAAGAGGGUAACGAAAGGCGUUAUAUUCUUUUCGAGUAGUGCAUCUAUGAGUUUGUGGUAGUAAUCAAGACCUCCUUGGUUCACUCCCCUACUCACCUUUCCUUCUGCUCAUGUAUAUAUAUGUCGUACAUUAAUUAGUACUUUUCUCAACUAAAUGAUCCCAAUUAAAAUACAAACGAAUCGAUAACAUGUACAUACUUGGAAUGAUUCUUGACCACGCAAAGGAGAACCUGUAGCCAGUAGCAUUGAGUUCGCCCAUCACGUCUACAUCUUUCUGCAGUUUACAUAUUUUAAUCACAUGUCAAUCCACACGUAUAGUUUUAUAGUUUUUAUAGGGUGAACGAUCUAUUUCCCCACGAGAACUAUCGUAUAGCAUCAGAUCUCCAUCAAACUAUGACCUCGUGUUAAAACUCCAUGAAUUUAAAGUUGUCAACUUAUUUCUCUCCAAAUUAUAAGUUGUAAAUUGAUUUCUCCCCAAAUCUAUAGUUCAAAACUUAAUUGUCCAUAGACCAUGGUUUUAAUCGGUUUACUAUUAACCUACCAAUUUUAAACUAAUUAAAACCUUUUUUAAAAAAAACUGAUUCAUUAAAAAAUUGAAUUAAAAUUGCCAAAAAAAUUUGUUUGUCUAAUAAAAAAUUCUGGGAAUCACUUUUUUUUUUGUGAAUCGCUUUUUUUUUAAUAAAAAAUUAGUUUGAGAUUUGUAUUGGUUUAAUUGGUCGGUUAACCGAUUAAAACCAUGGUCUAUGGACAAUUACGUUUUGAAAUAUCGGUUUGGGGAGAAAUCAAUUUACAACUUAUAAUUUGGAGAGAAAUAAGUUUACAACUUUAAAUUCAUGGAGUUUUAGCACGAGGUCAUAGUUUGGUGGGGAUCUGAUGCUAUACGAUAGUUCUCGUGGGGAAAUAGAUCGUUCACCCGUUUUUAUACAUAUAUAGUUCAGUCGUAUAUAUGAGUAUCAUUGUAUUAACCUGCCAUCUCGUGUAUGACUCACAAGUAGUGUCUCCAUUCUUCAAAUCUGACCCUGAUUUCUCUGAUAGUAGUUACAAAUACAUUAAUACAUGUACAUAUAAACCGACGUUCAUCUCAUGUGUAUAUAUACACUGUGACGUACCUGGAUAUCGGUGACUGAAGCCAUCCCAAAUGUUAACACCACGACCUCUUCCUCCUUCGAUCUGAAAUGAAAAGAAACAACCAUGCGAAGUUGCAUUUUAGUAUUUUUGAAUUGUAUUUAUUUAUACGUCAAAAACAUUUGUUACAUGCCUGGUAAGCAGAAGAUGCAACACCGAAGAUGAAGUCUUUUCCGAAGUUUUUACUGCUUAAAAUAUCAGUGUUACUACAUGUGAAUGGAUUGUUCUCUUCGCAAGUAAUUUCUUCAUCAGCUUUGCAACUCGCAGCAGCUAAUAGAAAAACUAAAGCGAGUCCAUGAAGAAGCUUCAUGGUUAAUAUGUUGAUGUUUGUGUUGUGUUGUGUGGAACCUUGUGCCCAUCUAGGGUUUAUAUAGCCCUUCCAAAAGAAGAGUGUCGUAUGUAUUUUUCGUCUUAGUAUCUUGAUAUUUUGGGAGAGGUUUAGAUGAGAUGAAUCCCGUGGAUUCACUUACUUUAGCUCAGUGCUCACCGAUUUUGCUUAUAUUUCUUGUUUGUUUCCACUUUUUAGUCUUCCAUUAUCUAUUGCAGAUAAUUCUUUUAGUUACAUAGCACAUAUUUUAUGUAAUUUUUUUAUUUACAUAGCACAUAUUUGUGUUCCUUUACCUGAACACGUACUACUUGGAACACGAAUUGUGUCACAUCUUCAAAUUGAUCCGUCGAUCGACAGUGGUGCAAUGCAGCAUGUGUAUAUCGAAGGUUUGCGCGAAACUUGAACGACAAGAAUUAUAUAUCAAGAUUGGUUGUAGUAAAUAAUGUUCAAAGCUUCGUCAUAACGCCAUAAAGUUAUUGAAGAUUUUUAUCGUAACAUUAUCAAGUGUUGAAUUAAUCUAGAGUAACACUGAUUCAAGGCCACACUUUCACGAGCUUCACCGCUAUCACAAUAUAUCAAAAAAGGAAAAGAAAAAAACAAUCACAACAUAUCUUAUUGGUUUUGAUUCUUUUGACCUCUCUAUGUAUGCCUUUAACACAUGAGACCGGAGUCUCCGAAAGAACAUUUUUUGCUUUUUUUCUGUAUCGUUUAUAGAUGAUUGGAAGGGUUGCAAUGCAAGAACCUUGUGUUAACCUACAAGUUUAUUCAAUAGUUUAGCUCUAUACUUAUUUUUUUAUGUUUUUCAAAAUUGGAUAUUCUUUUUGACAAAAGAUUCUUCUAUUGAAAUACCUGAAACAGUACUAGCUAUGACUUCAACCAUGAAGAUGACUUCAACCAUGAAGUAAAAUAAACUGUUCAUAUUAUUUCAAGAAUAAAACAUUUAAUUAAAUUUAUGUGCUUUAGGCCUGCCUUCUAUAAUAGUUUCAGUUUAAAUAACAUUUUUUUAGAACUACUAGAUUUAAAUAACAUUUACGUUACGAGUUUACACUGGAUUUUUCUUAGGUUACACGCUCUUUCUGCAAACUGCCAUGUAAAAAACUGCACUACAUUUAAGCAAAAAAAAAAUGCACUACAUUAAGCUACGAGUUACGGACAGUGGCGAAGGCAGGUUAUAGGGUGUAGGGGCAUGUGCACCCUCAAUUAUAUUAAAAAAAUACAUACCCCAACUCUUAUUGCAUGCCAAAACAUACCUUAACUAAUCAAAAAUUUGAAAUUUAUGCCUAGUCUUUAGAAGUCAACGCCAAUUUCAAUAUAUACUAUUAUUUGCGAAGUAAAUUUUCGCAACGGAGCUCUCCCGUUAAAAAUUAGAGUAGCUAAAAUCUAUGUUACCCCUAAUAAAUUUUUAUAUAUAUUCUAUUAUAUAAUAAAAUGAAUUUUAUUUGCGAAGUAAUUUUUCGCAACAGAGCUCUCACGUUAAAAAUUAGAUUGGCUAAAUUCUAUGUUACCCUUAAUGAAUUUUUAAAUAAAAUGAAUUUUAUUUUAAAAAUCUUAUAUAUUUUUUAAAAAUAAUUAUGAUGAUUCUUAUAUAUUAUGUUGUUAUCUUAAAAUAAUAUUUUACUAUUAUAAAAGUAAAAAAAUUAAAAGAAGUUAUUUUUUUACAAUAUUAUAUUUAAAAAAAAAGAUAAUUCUUAUAUAUACAAAUAUAUCUUAAAAUCACUUCUUAGAAAAUAUCCUUAUACAAAUAUAUUGCUCCAUUAAUAUUUACUUAGAUAUUAUUUUUAUCUUAAAUUUUAACUUUCAAAAUAGUAAAAUAUUAUUUCAAGAUAACAACACAAUAUAUAAGAAUUAUCAUAUAUUUUUAAGAAAAUAUAAUAUUGCAAAAAUCAUGUCUCUUAAUUUUUUUUACUUUUACAAUAGUAAACUAUUAUUUUAAGAUAACAACACAAUAUAUAAGAAUCAUCAUAAUUUUUUAAAAUAUAUAAGAUUUUUAAUAUAAUUUUUUAUUAUUAUAUAAUAGAAUAUAUAUAAAAAUUCAUUAAGGAUAACAUAAACUUUAGCCACUCUGUUUUUUAACGUGAGAGCUCCGUUGCUAUAAAAUUAUUUCAAAAAUAAUAGUAUAGAUUGAAAUUAGCGUUGACUUCUAAAGACUAGGCAUAAAUUUCAAAUUUUUGAUUAGUUAAGGUAUGUUUUGGCAUGCAAUAAGAGUUGGGGUAUGUAUUUUUUUAUCAACUCAUAGUCCAGGCAUGAAUUUUAAAUUUUUGAUUAGUGUAGGUAUGUUUCGACUUGCAGUAAAAGUUGAGGUAUGUAUUCUCUCAGCAACCCCUAGUUCGGGCAUGAAUAGGCCGUUUUCCCCUACAUUAAGCUACGAGUUACGGACAGUGGCGAAGGCAGGUUAUAGGGUGUAGGGGCAUGUGCACCCUCAAUUAUAUUAAAAUUUAAAAUUUUGUAUGUAAAGCAUAAGAAACAGUCGUCAUAUUUAAAACGUGAGCAGCCUUCUAGGUAUAAUCCAAAUAGACAAACACUGUAAAAAACUUUUUUACCACAGUGUUAUUUGUUUCUCGCUUGUUAGAAAAAAAACUGUCUCCAGAUAUCCCCUCAGUCGGUUGCUCUCCUAGAUUUCUCCUUCAAGAUUCGCGGAUCUAUGGAGAAAAGAUGAUUUGAGGCUCUCGUUCGGGUCUUCUCCUCGGUAUGAUUCUCUCAACACCAAAGCAUGGCUGCUCUUCUAGUCAUCUGAUUUCAGAGCUUUCGGCUCUCUUGUUCUUCAACGGUCCAAAAGAGGUCGAAUGAUGCUGCGCCCUGCCUUUUCCUUGCUUUGAAGCCGAAUUUGUUUGAGUGGUCGGCUUGUGUUAAGGAACCAGAGUUGAGUGCCAUAAACCUCUGGCUUGCUUCUGCCACCGUCACUCCACGCUUUAACUGUUGGUUUCUUUUCAUCUGAUAGGGUUUUGAGGGAACCGUCACGUUACUUUUGGAGUUGUUCCGCGUCUGGAGUAGACCUCACCUUAUGUUAUCCGGACCAGGACUUAGUCAAACCUGCUUUGCCUUGAUUCCUUUCGAAGUCGCCUUCUGGAUAAGCUUUGGUUCCUAUCCGGCUGAUUUACUCUAAUGUGUGAUGAUCUUGCUGCAGAUACCCGCAAGAAACCAUUUUGUGGAAACCAUUUUUCAUCCAAUCAAAAUUUUGGUUUUUGAUUUUGUUUUUGUAAAAACUAUUUGAGUUGCCAAUCAAGAUUUUCAAUACAUAGAUUCCCUAAAAUUUAGGGAAACUAGUUUUUGAAAAGUUUAACCAAUUUAUGAAAAAAACCAAAAACCAACUUUUGGGAGCUUUUAUGAAGAAAAACGAAUUUUGAUUUUAUUUUGUAGAAACUACUAUAUUUUAAUUAAUAAAUAAUAUUUUCAUAAAAAUAAAAUUAUCAUAAAAUAUUUUAUAUAUUAGAUAUUAUUUAAACAAUAAUGUGAAAUAUUUUAAUUUGUGUUUCAUAUCUGUAAAUCAAUUUAUAUAUUUUAUAAAUAAUAUUAUUUAAUUUUAAAACUUAGCUAUUAGUUUCUAUAAACAAACAAUUGAAUUAUUUUAAUAAUUAUUAGUCACAUUAAAAAUAACAAAUAUUAUAAAAACAUAAUAUGUUUUAUUAAUACAAUAUAUUGUAUAAUCCUGAAAUAUAAAAAUUGCCAUUCAACUUUAAGAAAAUAUAAAUAAUUUAUAUAAGAAAAUUUAUUUUUGUAUAAUUUAUAAUAUUUAUAUAAGAGAAACUAUUUAUUCAAGUUUUUAAAAUUAAAAUAUUUUAUAUAAGAAAAUUUUCUAAGUAGUUUCAAAAUUUAAUUUUUUUAAUUUUGUGUAAUUUAUAUAUAUUUUAUGAUUUAUAUUUUAUAUAAUAUAUAAUAUAUUUUCAUAAAAAUAUAAUAAUUAAAAUAUCUUAUUGUAUUUUAUUUUAAAAUAAUAAUCACAAUAUUUUGAUAAGUUUUAAUUGUAAAAUCUAAAUACUUAUGGCUAUUUUGUUGUAUUAUUUUAAAGUAAUCUAUUAACUAAUUUUUGAAAAUAAAAAAAUACUGCAAAACCAAGAACCAAAAUCAAAAUCUAAAAACCAAAAACUAAAAACCAAAAGCUGAAAACCAAAAACCAAAAUCUAAAAACCAAAAACUAAAAUCUAAAAACCAAAAACUAAAACUAAAAACUACUGAAACAAUCAUCACCUAAGUUUCAAAAUCCUGGAUGGUUUUUAGAUUUUAGAUUUUAGUUUUUGGUUUUUGGCUUUUGGUUCUUAGUUUUUGGAUUUUGAUUUUUUUAGUUUUUGGAUUUUGGUUUUUUGAAGAAACACGAAUGGCAGAUUUUAGUUUUUGAUUAUUUUUUAAUUUAAGAAAAUAUUUUAUUUUAAUUUUGAUUUUACUGUUGUUUUAGUUUUCACAUUAGUUUGGAUGAUGAUUUUCAGUUUUAAUUUUAAUAUAUUUUAUUUAUUACUUUUUUGAAGUUGAAAUAAAAAAUAAUAACAAAAAUCAAAAUUUAAUUAAAACAAAAAGUAGCUUCUGAAUUUUAUUUUUUUCUUUAGAGUUUUUGUUUUCCUAAAAUUUGAUUACUGAUUUAUUUUUGUUUUCUAUUAUUUUUAAAUUUUUAACUUAUAACUAAAAUAUUUUCCCUUACGAAACAUACAAUUACUAAGAGAAUAUAUCACAUCUUUAAACAAAAUAAUACUAAUAGAUUAUUAACAAAACAUGCAAAUUUUACAUAAAGUAAACUUAAAUAAUUAAUUUAGUUUUCAUGACAAAUUUAAAAUAUUUUUCUGAAUAUAAAUUAUUUUUUAUUAUAUAUGUUAAAAAUAUUAUGUUUACUAAAAAUUAUUUGCUUAUAGUAGUUUCCAUUUUUUUUUAUGAAACAAAUAUUUUUUGAACUUCUUUUAGUUACAUGUACGAGAACUUUGUUCUUGUAUAUAAAUUUCAUUUUUUUAAAUGCUGAUUAAGAAAAUGAAAUUAUUUUAUAAAAAAGUUAAAAGAUGAAAAUCUAACGUGAUGUUUGUUGUAGAAACUUGGAAAAGGUGGUUUUAGCUUUUCUUAAGAAAAUAACAAUUUGUUUCAAAAACCAGUUUCCCUAAAUUAUAGGGAAUCCAUUUCUCCAAAAAUUUGAUUGGCUAAAAAGUGGUUUUUUUUAAAACAAAAACUAAAAACUACCGCAGAAUCUGCAAACAAUCAUUGGUUUUCUGAAAUCAUGUUCUAGCUAAGGCUUCAACAGUUCUUUAGGUGAUGAUUAAACAUUCUUAGUCUUUGAAAGUCUUUUUAAUUUCUUUGGGUGGGGGGGCUUUCUAAGACCUUUGCUUUGAUUACCUAUCCUAGAUGCAUUAGAAUUUGAUCUCUCAAACUAUAUUUAUAUUUCAUUGUAUCAUUAUCUUGAGAACUACUUAUUGCAAUAGAAAUGAUAGGUUUUAUUACUUGUAGUGCGUAUGGUGAGUUUAAAAUGGUCUAUUACGUUAGAGAAGCUUUUCAAAAUUUGUAUAAAUGCUAUACAGACCAUUUCAAUAGUGUUUUGACCCACAGAUUCACAGACCCUCCCCACCAACUCAAUGAUACGACCACUUUUCACCUAGUCCCACGAUUCAUAAAAAUGUUUCUAUCGAUUCUAUCCUUGAUAAGGCUUUGGUUAGGAACAGUGAAGACAUGGUUGUUCAUGAGUUGUCUUGUAAUGUGAAUAUCUUUCUGCUCAGUGAGAGAAAUACUAAGGAAUCACUGAAGACUUUUUUUCAAUUGAUAUGAGCAUGCAUCUUUUUUUUCUUAGUGAGAGAAAAUUAACAAAUUAUUGAAGACUUGUAUAUUUUUCUGUAAUAUAUAUCUGCUUCUGCUUAGCGAGAAAAACAUUAAAUAAUUAUUGGAGAUUUUUUUUUCAAUGGAUAUCAUCAGUUAUCUUGAUAAUCUGAGUGAUUAUUUAUUGCAUGACAUGUGGCUUUGGGAAGAUAAUGGUGUAUCUUAAAUAAGCAUUCUACAUCGACAUGCAAUUACAUGUCACCUAACUCUAUAUUUAUGGUUUAUGGCCACAUUUCUUGAUUACUGGUUUGUCUGAUAAUAUUUUUUUGCGAAAUGCUCGUUGCAUUCUUCCUCUAUGGCCUUAAGGAAAAAAUACUCUUUAUGAUUUGAUAUAAAAAACAAAAAUUUUUAUUCAAAACGAUAAAAUAUUCAAGGACAAUAUGGUACAAAUACAAUAUUGCCUGAUAAUAAUAAUAGCAUAACUGAUUUAAAGGCGAAAACCUUUAAUCAUUACAAUAUAAAAAUUCAGAAAUGCAAACGCAAAAACUUCAGUCCAAACCAAACCUCGUUGGCCAACCAUUGUUGAUUCUAUGACCAGAAAGAUCGGUGGCGGCGGCGGUGGUGGUGGUGGUGGUGGUGGUGGUGGAAGGCAUCUGACUGGUGACUAGUAGUUGGUGAUAGCCAUUAUUGUUGUCACCCAUGGAAGCAACUCUUGCAGGCUCUUCAACAUCACUCAUCUGCUGAGGUUGUCCCAUCAAAAGACUCAUGAACGAUUGGUUUGAAUUUGGAUACUGAUUCGAACUCUGUCCCUGAUCAUGAUUCAAACCUGUGUACUUAUCCUGGCUCGAACCAUAGAACAUAGGCUGAGUCUGGUCAUCAAAGUUAGCAGGACCUUGGUAUUGAAACGGUUCUUGAUGAUUCAUAUCCAUACCCUGACUCGAACCAUAAAACAUAGGCUGAGUCUGAUCAUAAAAGUUAGUAGGAGUUUGAUAUUGAAAUGGUUCUUGAUGAUGAACAUGAUCAUUAAAACCUCCAAGAGCCUGCUCAUUCACACUCAUAUCCAUACCAUCAUAUUGACGCAUAUGAUCAUAAGCUUCAGUAGGGUUACUUACCAAACCCUCAGUUUCGACAACAAAAGGGUUCGCAUCACCAACAACAGGACCAGAUGCAUCUGUAGCAGCGACAUUAGGUGGAACUGGCUCACCAUUCGCCUCGAGGAACUCAAUCCUGUGACUGAUAUUUUUGACAUAAUCACCAAUGAAAAGAUUCAGGUCUCUCAUAAAACUUGGAUCACCAUACUGAUCCGGCAUCAGCGUCUUCCCCUUGAGAAGAUCGAACAUAACCUCUGUAAGCUCAAUCUCCCUAUUCUCUGUGUGUAGCCUCAUCACCCUAUCUUGUCCUUUCUGGAUCCUCUCCUCCAGAUGCCUCUCCUGGUCGUACAUCCUCUUGCACCGUUCCUCCGGCAGAACACCCAUAAACGCUGAGUGCACUGCUUCAGCGCCUUCCUUUGACGGCCAAAACUCCGGCGGCUCCGUACUGUCGCAGCUGUUGAUAACCGCACAAACUUUGACACCGUAGAGAGUCGACAGCUCGUUGGCUUUUUUGAGUAAACCUUUCUUCCUCUUCCUGAAAGUUUGGUUCAUUGCAGCGCUAUUAGUCAUGGGCUCUAUUUUUAUCCUUCCCUUUGGCAUUAUUUUGUGUUGGUGAAUGAUAGAGAUAUGUUGGCACUUGAUAAUGCUCUUGUUUAUAUAGUGUAAUGAGGCUGGUAUUACGUAUGCAGAUCUUAUCACUUUCUUUUGGAUCAUUAAUGCUAAAUUGCAGUAAAUAUAAUUAUAAUAGUUACACAAAGAAUAUAUAUACUCAUUAACAGUUGUCGGGAAAUCAUUGGAUGAGGCAGAUAAUAAUCAUGUAAUUUUAGAUAUUAUUUGUAUAACUCAAGAUAUGUUUCCCAAGUUGAAGCAAUUAAACCAACCAAUAAAAAACAGUAAACUUCAAUGCAAAUUUAGAAGAAAAUGUUGCCAGCUAAUGCUGCGUAGAUAGUAGGACUAAAAUUACAGAGAUAUAUCCAAAGGAAAAUUCAUACAAUUCUAAUAAUACUACUAAACAUGCUUAUUUUCUGAAUUAAAGAAAAAAAACUUAUUAUAUUAUUUAAACCAAAAUUAUAAAUUUGAGACUCACUAAAUUAUUAUAGCUUGUGUAAUCCUCCCUCUAUUUUUUUUAAAAGUCGUUUUAGAGAAAAAAUUUAUGUUCCAAAUUAAAUGACGUUUUCGGUUUUCUAUGUAAAAUUUAUUAACACUUAAUGUUAUAUGACCAGUGAUAAUAUACCUUCUAUUUUUUUAUUGGUUGAUUUGUGGUUAUGUAAAUAAUUAAUGAUGUUUUUGUUUAGAAAAUAUAAAAAAUUAAUGAUUUUUUAAUCUAUGUGGACAAUUCAAAAACGACUUAUAUUAAAAAACGGAAGGAGUACAAGAUAAAUCGAAUCUUUAUAAGAAACCAGAAAUGGCUAACCACGUCUUUAAUUUUGGUUUGGAAAAUCCGCAAAAAGUCUUAAAGAAUAUAGGAAACCGGAAAUGACAUGUUCUUUCAGAAACUUCUGAUACUUCAAUUCUUGAUAUUAUUUUUCCAUCAUUCAAGAGCAGAAUACGUUGGGACGGAUGGCGGCUUCAUGCGUGCAUUCUGUUGUGAUGGGAGCUCUGUUCUCAGAUAAUAGACGCUCUCAACGGCUAGGCGCCACUCUCUUUCUGAGUUAUUCCAGCUUCUUCAUGAUUUCGUGCCGCGGUGAACAAACAAAAAAAGAGGGCCGUCUCAGCGGAAGGAGAAGGACCUGCAACGGCAGAGACUACUGACCCUCUUCUUGUUCACAAUGUUGAAAUACAAAGAAAUAAAAACAAAGGAUUGGGGUUUAGCUUCUUCUGGGUUUAUUAAUUAUAUAAGUAACAAAAUUCCUUCGCUACUCACGAUGGAGUGUAUUUUGAUUUUAUUGGAUGAAAGGUAGUUUGUUCAAAAAAAAAAGUAACAAAAUCAAAUAAAAUUAUAUGAAUGAUAAAAGAUCAUAUGUAAGAUCUCAUAAAGUUUUAGUUGAGGAUUAUAGAACUUUGGUUUAGAAACUUUGAGUUUGUAUUAGGUUUGGUUGUUAUUUAUUAUGUUGAAGAUACCUUUUAUUAUAUAAGUUGCACUUAUUAAACUAAUUAGUGAAUUUAGGCUAAUCCGUCCGUUAAUAUUUUUUAACACUAGACUAGUUUGAGAUUUCUGAGUGUUUUAUGUUUUAAAUUUUGUUAUUUUCCCUCUUUCCUCGUCAUCUUCACUUGUCAUAAUGUAGCUGUAGACAAAUAAUAUUUUUAUUCAUUUAAUAACUGAUCAUCUUUUUAUUGAGAUUGUUUAUUUAGUACAUUGUAGAUAGAAGAACCUCCUUAUCUAUGGGGUAAGUAGGAAGAGUGAGAGAUAUAGAGAUGAUCUUGAUGGUGGAAAGUGUUUCAUGCAUCAGCGAGCCUCUUCUUCUGACUCUGGGAAGAGAGGCUUGAGCGGAGGAAAUCUUGUUUCGCAGAAUUCUUGACAGUCCCGUUAAUGAAUCUCUGGUACCAUUUGCCAGAUUCUUUGAGGUUUCAGUCGUCGAGAUCUUAAUAUGAGAAUGGGGAAGCAUUCAUAAAACAUAAAGUACUGAGGUUUACCUUCUUUUGGUUUUCUUGAUUAUAUAAGAACCAAAAUAAAAUAAAAUCAUUUGAAUGAUAGGAAAAUCAUAUGUAAAAUACUAUUAAGUUUCAGUUGAGGAUGAUAGAACUUUGGUGUAGCUAGAUUUGAGUUUGUAUAAGGUUUGGUCAUUGUUUAUUAUGUUGAAAAUCUAUUCUAGUAUAUAAAGUUGAACUUAUUAAGUUAAUUUAAGCUGAUCGGUUUGAUGUUUAUAUAUUUAUUACACAAAACUAGUUUGCGGUUUGGGGUAAUUAUUUAUUUAUUUUCUAUGUGUGUCUAAGUGACGUUUUUGGUUUAAAUUGUGUUAUUUCACUCUCUCUCUCGAUCAUCUUGACAAAAUGUUGUUGUAGACAAUUUUUUUAUUCAUUAGUAACUGAUCAUCUUUUUAUUGAGAAUAUUUAUUUAGUACAUUAUUGUAGGUAGAAGAAGCUCCUUAUCUUUGGAGCAACUAGAAAGAGUGAGAGACAUGGAGAUGAUCUUGACCGGGGGGAAAAGUGUUUCAUGCAUCAGCGAACCUCUUCUUCUGACUCUGGGAAGAGAGGCUUGAGCGGAGGAAAUCUUGUUUCACAGCGUUCUUGACGGUCCCGUUGAUGAAUCUCUGGUACCAUUUGCCAGAUUCUUUGAGGUUUCUAUCGUCAAGAUCUUCCCAAUUAACGUAACUGAGUCCAAAUCUGACGGUGAAACCUUUACAGAAUUCAUAAUUAUCUCCAAGAGCCCAUGCAAAGUAUCCUCUCACGUUGACACCCUUCU
rnacentral:lncRNA from 1 species